GUCUUCCUAAUAUAAUAGAAAAUAUAAGUGGCUUCCAACCACACAAUCUUGGUUAAAAUCCAAGGGAAAACA
rnacentral:tRNA from 1 species